rnacentral:rRNA from 1 species
AUUGAACGCUGGCGGCAUGCCUUACACAUGCAAGUCGAACGGUAACGGGCCUUCGGGUGCCGACGAGUGGCGAACGGGUGAGUAAUACAUCGGAACGUGCCCGAUCGUGGGGGAUAACGAGGCGAAAGCUUUGCUAAUACCUCAUACGAUCUACGGAUGAAAGCCGGGGACCGCAAGGCCUUGCGCGGGCGGAGCGGCCGCUGGCAGAUUAGGUAGUUGGUGGGGUAAAAGCUUACCAAGCCGACGAUCUGUAGCUGGUCUGAGAGGAUGAUCAGCCACACUGGAACUGAGACACGGCCCAGACUCCUACGGGAGGCAGCAGUGGGGAAUUUUGGACAAUGGGCGCAAGCCUGAUCCAGCCAUGCCGCGUGCAGGAUGAAGGCCUUCGGGUUGUAAACUGCUUUUGUACGGAACGAAAAGCCUUCUUUUAAUACAGGAGGGUCAUGACGGUACCGUAAGAAUAAGCACCGGCUAACUACGUG